UUUCUGGUAGCUCAAUUGGUUAGAGCGAUUAGCUGUUAACUAAUUGGUUAUAGGUUCGAGUCCUAUCUAGAAAG
rnacentral:tRNA from 1 species